rnacentral:misc_RNA from 1 species
GAAAACUGGUGAACCAAAUAAUGAUGAUCUUAGAGGAAAGGAAGAACAUUGUCUGGAGUUUAUAAGAACACUAUCCAAACCUUGGAAUGAUUCAGUAUGCAACCUUACCAAACCAUUCAUUUGUGAGAAAAAUGCUUUCUAUUAAAAAGUUGUGCAUCCAUUCAGUUGUGAGAAAAAUGCCUUAUUUUUAUAAUAUCUCCUGUCUUAUCAAUUCAGUUGUGUGAAAAAUGUUUUCUAAAUGAAGAAUUGAUGCGUAUCCACUCAGUUGCGAGACAAAUGCCGUAUUUUUUUAUUUCCUGAGUGUCUGAUCAAAAUGAAACAAAUGUAUAGAUGUAGGAUUCUAAAAAUGCAUAAAUCCUGGUUUGAUUAUUUGGGUAUGAACAUUUCUUAUCUUAUGAAUCAUAUUUAUAUGAACUAAAUCCAUUGGUACAUGUAUGUGUUUAUGUUAGUUCAGCAAUCGGAUAAUUGAAUUUGAUAAUAAAAUAUUCUUUAUAAUGUUGAUCUUUACAAUAAGGAGGAUGGGUCACAAUCAUAUUGGAAUGAACUUUCUUUCGAAAUAAACAAUGAAAUUAAAUAACCAUUAUGUAUUUUUGUUUACAAUUGUAGUCUCACAACAUUGCUAAGUAGGUUAAAGGGACUUGGACACGAUUUGAGCUCAAACUUUUCAAAAUUCAUUUUUUCCACUUUUAAUGUCUAGAAUGGUUGAUAUGGAUAUUGUUAUUGCUUCCUCAAAAUCUUAAAGUCAAAUAUUGAGUAACAAGAAAAAUACAGAGUUUGAAGUUAUUUGUUUAGUAAACAAAGCUUGAGUCUUGUUAUUGUUUAAAUAUGUGUUAUAUUGGAAUUAGUUUCAAUGAAAAGGCGCUUCUUUUUGUCUUUUGUUGACAAUAUUUAUGAACACAUUGAAUCAUUUAUCUUGUUUGCCACCAGUCAUUUUGUCAAAUAAAUGGUAAUUUCUUU